rnacentral:rRNA from 1 species
UACGUAGGGGGCAAGCGUUGUCCGGAUUUAUUGGGCGUAAAGAGCGUGUAGGCGGCUUUACAGGUCCGUUGUGAAAACUCGAGGCUCAACCUCGAGACGCCGAUGGAAACCGUCUGGCUAGAGUCCGGAAGAGGAGAGUGGAAUUCCGGGUGUAGCGGUGGAAUGCGUAGAGAUCCGGAAGAACACCGGUGGCGAAGGCGGCCUGCUGGGCAGUGGCUGACGCUGAGGCGCGACAGCGUGGGGAGCAAACAGG